UUGAACUUACUUAUUUCUGUAAGACAGAACUAAGAUGGAUGGAUGGAGGCUUCAUGAAGGCAAUUUGGAUUCCAUGUGAGGAAGAAAUAUUCAACCACAACUUUUAAAAUAGAAAGGGCUGACUUAUCAGCAAGGAGUUUACAAAGAAACUGCCCUAUGGAUUGGGAGUGAGGAAAGGAAUAGGAGAGUGUUUUCACCUUCGAAGAAAUAAAGGAAACAACCACUUCAAAUUCAUCCUAUUCUACCAUGAAGACUACUUGUGGGAAGAGAGGAAAAUACUUUUUGCCUCCUGCAAAAUAAAGUUGAUCUGAUGGAAGUGUGGGUAAGUAAUAAAUUGAAGAACAUCAAGAUAAGAGGCAAGUACACCAGUUUCAGGAGGUGUGUGUAAAAGUCUCCAGCUAU